rnacentral:lncRNA from 1 species
GAACCCAAGUGCCUUCCCAGAGUAGCCUGCCCUUUACAAGGGAGGCAUCACAAAGUGUGAGGCCACAGCUGGGCUCCUUGUACAGCAGGGCUCAGUCUCCACACAUAGCUGCAUCCUGAGGUUCUGGAAAUGAAGACCUCAUUCUGGUGUCCCACGGGCUUAACUGUGGUGUCUCAAUGGAUUGCAUGGAAACCUGAUCGACAACCAAGCCAAAGACAUGAUGAGACCCUUGUUGCCAGGAAAACAGCAGCCUUGAGUCCCAGGGUGUGCACUUGAUGAGAUUCCUGGCUCCAGCCUUGCACACCCAGGGUCUCCAUGAGACCUGCCCCUAAGACCCUGAAUAGCUCCAGUGAAGACCCCUGAGCUGUGGAAGAAGAGAAUGCUAGAAAUGACUGGCUAAUCAUGUCUGCCACACAGACUCUAGGGCUGCAACCAAAGAAGUUUCUGUGUGAUUGUGUAUAAUUGUGUGUGUGUGUGAUUGUGUGUGUGUGUGUGUGUGUGUGUGUGUGUGUGUGCACUUGCAGAUGCAUGGUGGGGGCAGAGGCCAACCUCAGGUGUCUUCUUCAACUACUCUUCACAUUAAUUGAGACAGGGUCUCUGAGUGAACCUGGAGCUCAUCAAUCCAGCCAGACUAGGCAGCCUGUAAGCUUCCAUGAUUCUUCUGUGUCAGCCUGCUCAACGCAAGGAUAACACACUUACACAGCUAUACCUAGCUUUCUUCUUGAGAGGUGGGGAUCUGAACUUGGGUCUUCACGCUUGCGCAGCAGCACAACUGAAGCAUCUCCCUGGGCCCCUGCUUGGUUAUUUAUAAAGAUUGCUUCACUCUAAGAAGACUGGGCACUCAGAUGUAUCUACAUACACAAAUUUAUGUAUCUGUAAAAUAGCCACUGGGUUGAGACAAGGAGAAAACAGAGGCACUUGGAAAUCUGCAGUGGGGAAGGGGACAGCCUAUAAGACUUAGAAAGACUGGAGUUCUAAUGCUAGAAGUGAGGAUAAAGACCUGGAGCAGAUCUUUCCCUAGGCCCUCAGAGGGAACACAGCCCUGCUGACACCCGGAUCUAACUUCUAGCCUCCAGCACUAUGGGACAGCCAAUUACUGUUGUCUGGUGUCCUUGGUUUGUGGAAUGAUGCUAUGACAUCCUUAGCAAACUAAUACACAGAUGGUCCUGCCACUCACACACAGGAGCUCUGUCUUCAGCUGGGAGAUUCCUGGUGGCCAAAGCAACAAGGGAAUCUGUUAGUAGGCUCCAUAUUUCAGGCAGGCUAAGCCAGCCAUUUCCACAGAAUUGACAGACUCAUGUGUUUAGCACAGUGAUGGAGAUCCGGGCGGUGCUUUAAAAUCACAUCACCUGGCAGUUUUCUUUGUUAACUUUCACAACUGUGAUUUUUCCCUCCAUUAAACCAUCAUCUUGGAAACCAGUAGGCAAGAGAUAUCUGCCGCUCCAGCCCUGUGGUUUUAGACUCUUACAGCCUUCUUCCAGAAGCUGGUGUCCACUUUCAUGGUAGAGAAAUCAUUAAUAGGGGAAUGGAUGGGCUGUGGGCUGCAGCCAAGCCACAGGCCAGGCAGCCCUGUUUCCCAGGCAUGUACUGUGGGAACUAUCCCCGAUGCUGGCCACAGACCAGGGAGAAGCCAGUCUUUUCUGUGGGUUGACCCUCCCCCUGGCUAAGAGGAACCCCUCCAUCCCCAACACACACACACACCACCACCACCGUCACCACCACCAUCACCAGCAGCAAUAGCAUUCAUUUUCCUCCAUCAUGUAAUGGGAGUCCUGGGAAAGUGCCUACUGUCAUCUCUAAUCCUGGCUGGCUUCCUUUGUGAAGGUGUGCUGGGCUCAUAUAACUGGUGUCGCAAAUAGAUCUGUUGAUUUAGUUGCAGUGUUCCCCACUGAGCUGUGGUGGGUUUCAGGGACCUUUCUGAGCCCCCAUUCUACUUGGUAGCUUUUUCCAGCCUGACUGACUGCACCAGAGGAGGGCCUGGACAUCUCCAUACUAAAUAGAAUAUGCUAGAAUACCUAUCAUGUGACAGGCCUCCAGCCUUUGGUUCUCACAUCAACUUGUAUAUUUUCUCAGGCAAAAAGCAGAACUAUUUAUCAUUUCUUGGUGUGUGUGCAUACAUGUCUACAUAUAUGUGUGUGCAUGUAUCUGUGUGUACAGGUCCCAAUGUAUAUGUAUGUGGGUUUAUGUAGAGGCCCAAGGACAGCCCCAGGUGUCAUUCUUCAGGUGCUGGCCUCCAUUGUUCUUUUUGGCAGUGUGAUGGUUUGAAUGAGAGCAGCCUCCAUAGGCUCAUAUGUUUGAAUAAUUGGUCCCUAGUUGGUGGAACUGUUUGGGAAGGAUUAGGAGGUGUGGCUUCAUUGGAGGUAUGCCACUGGGGUGGGCUUUGAGGUUUCGAAAGCCAAUGCUAUUCCCAAUGUGCUCUCUGCUUGCCAUUUGUGAGCUCCCUGCUGCUGCUCCAGCACCAUGCCUGCCUGCUACCAUGCUCCUCACUCUUAUGGUGAUGGGCCCUAACCCUCUGGAACUAUAAACCUCAAAUAAACCCUUCAUUUUAU